GCCAGCAUGGCUAGUGGUUUGAGCGUUGGACUACGACUCUGGAGACCAGGGUUCGAUUCUCUGCUCGGCCU
rnacentral:tRNA from 1 species